rnacentral:rRNA from 1 species
ACGAACGCUGGCGGCGUGCCUAAUACAUGCAAGUCGAGCGGACUAAUUAAGAGCUUGCUCUUAUGAGGUUAGCGGCGGACGGGUGAGUAACACGUGGGCAACCUGCCCUGUAGACUGGGAUAACAUCGAGAAAUCGGUGCUAAUACCGGAUAAUUGUUGGAACCGCAUAGUUCUAACUUAAAAGAUGGCUCCGGCUAUCACUAUAGGAUGGGCCCGCGGCGCAUUAGCUAGUUGGUAAGGUAAUGGCUUACCAAGGCGACGAUGCGUAGCCGACCUGAGAGGGUGAUCGGCCACACUGGGACUGAGACACGGCCCAGACUCCUACGGGAGGCAGCAGUAGGGAAUCUUCCGCAAUGGACGAAAGUCUGACGGAGCAACGCCGCGUGAGUGAUGAAGGUUUUCGGAUCGUAAAGCUCUGUUGUUAGGGAAGAACAAGUGCCGUUCGAAUAGGGCGGCACCUUGACGGUACCUAACCAGAAAGCCACGGCUAACUACGUG